rnacentral:lncRNA from 1 species
CGAUCAACCUGCUGCACUUACUGAUAAGAGUACCUCUGAUGACAAGAGGGAGAUGAAAAAGUGAGAACGAUCGAACCGCAUAAGCUUAAUGGUCAUGAAGCGUGCUAUUCUAGAAGCAUUCCAGGGCACUAUGUCCGAUAAGGUGACUACGACUAAGGGUUUCCUUGAGGACCUUGAGAAGAGGUUUGCCAAGAAUGAAAAGGCUGAAACAAGUACACUUUUGGCAAAUCUUGUCUCAAUGAGGUAUAAAAGGAAAGGAAACAUUCGGGAGUACAUUAUGAAAAUAUCUCACAUUGCUUCCAAACUAAAAGCACUCAAGUUGGAUUUAUCUAAAGACUUGUUGGUGCACUUAGUUUUGAUAUCCCUUCCGGCACAUUUCAGUCAAUUUAAGGCGAGCUACAACUGUCAAAAGGACUCAUGGUCCUUUAAUGAGCUCAUCUCACACUGUGUCCAGGAAGAGGAAAGACUGAAGCAUGAGAAGACAGAAAGUGCUCAUUUAGCCACCACCUCUAAGGACAAAAGCAACAAGAAAAGGAAGAUUAAUAAGGAAGCUGCGGGUUCGGCACCGUAAAAGAAACAGCAUAAGGAACCAACUGAAGGCGAUUGUUUCUUCUGUGGAGCUGCAGGUUAUAAAAAGAAGAAUUGCACCAAUUACCAUGCAUGGCGUGUAAAGAAAGGUACUCUUCUUCAUUUGGUUUGUUCUGAGAUUAAUUUAACUUCGGUACCUAGACAUACAUGGUGGACAGAUUCUGGUGCAACAACUCACAUCAGUAUGUCUAUGCAGGGUUGCCUAAUUUGCCGAAAACCAAGUGAUGGUGAAAGAUACAUCUAUGCUGGCAACGGCAAAGAAUGGAAGUAGAGGCAAUAGGAAAAUUUAGAUUAUUGUUAAAGACUGGAUUUUAUUUGGAUCUUGUUGAGACAUUUAUUGUACCG